rnacentral:lncRNA from 1 species
UCAUAAGUCACCACGGGUGCAAGACUCGCCAUAGCCCGACUAUCAUUUUAAAGUCCGGACGAGUCAAGUCUAGAAAAUAACAUGCUUAGGUUGUGUUUCUGAAACUGUUGGAUAUAAGUUAUUUCUUGUAUGUUACAUGCUUAAUCUGAUGCAUGAUUUUGUAUAAUUAGCUCACCCUGUUUGUGCCAUGUCUACUUGCUUGUUGUGUGUGCUUUCCUGUUGCAAUGAUCAUCCACUUGGAUGUGAGCAAAGGAAGGAGAGGUUUCACUGGAGCAUGUCUUGGAGGAAAAUGAAGAUGUUACAGCU